rnacentral:lncRNA from 1 species
CUUUUCUCCUGUGUUCUGUCUGAUGGUGGCACCAAUGAGCAACGGAAUAACCAAAAGGCACCUGGCAAAAAGCUCUAGGCAUUCUAACUCUAAAAGGACUGAUGAAGAUGCUUUUCUGACUACAGACAGAAGGACUCUCCGUUACUGAAUGUUUUUAAUGUACCAUCUGUAUUAUAUAAAUUGUCCCAUUCAUCCUCCAAACCAUUCUAAGAGGACAGGCUUUGCCUUAAGUUAUUCAGAUGUUGCAUGGUGAGGUGAAGGAUUCCAACAGUUUUGUUUGUUGAGAAAAGCAGAAUCCUUUUUUUUUUCAUUAACAAUGAGAAUGAAUUUUCCUAUUCCAUGAAGAUUUCUAUGUGGCCAUCUCUUCAGGACAUAGGUAUCAGCUACUGCUUUAAAUUUAGGAAAUGCACACUCAUAUGUAACCAACCACAUAAUGUUUCCAAAGCAAUAUAUUGAGAUUGAUACAAAUACACAUUUUUCAAGAAUCCUGGACUAAUCCCACACUACUCUGAGCCUUCUUUACUUUUUAAGCCUCUUUAUUUCUAUUAUAUGACUGUGAACUAAGUAGAUUUAACUUUUGU